CAAAAAAUAGUUUAAUUUAAAAUACUAGUUUUGGGGACUAGGGUUAGGCGUGUACGCCUUUUUUUGA
rnacentral:tRNA from 1 species